rnacentral:rRNA from 1 species
CCUACGGGUGGCAGCAGUGGGGAAUAUUGGUCAAUGGGGGGAACCCUGAACCAGCGACGCCGCGUGAAGGAUGAAGGUUUUCGGAUUGUAAACCUCUUUUAGUAGGGAAGAAAAUGACGGUACCUGACGAAUAAGCACCGGCUAACUACGUGCCAGCAGCCGCGGUAAUACGGAGGGUGCAAGCGUUAUUCGGAAUCACUGGGCGUAAAGGGAGAGUAGGCGGGUUAGCAAGUCCGAUGUGAAAUCCUAGGGCCUAACCAUGGAACUGCAUUUGAAACUGUUGUACUAGAGUAUGGGAGGGGUAGGUGGAAUUCUUGGUGUAGCGGUGAAAUGCGUAGAUAUCAAGAGGAACACUGAUUGCGAAGGC